UACGGAGGGUGCAAGCGUUGUCCGGAUUUAUUGGGUUUAAAGGGUGCGUAGGCGGAUGAAUAAGUCCGAGGUGAAAGACGGUCGCUUAACGAUCGCAGUGCCUUGGAUACUGUUUAUCUUGAGUACAGAUGAGGCUGAUGGAAUGGGUGGUGUAGCGGUGAAAUGACAUAGAUACCAUCAGAACACCGAUUGCGAAGGCAGUCAGCUAAACUGGCACUGGACGCUGAAGGCACGAAAGCGUGGGGAUCAAACAGG
rnacentral:rRNA from 1 species